GCCUGCAGCCAUGGCGCCUUGGGCUGUGAUCUUAUCAGACCUCCUAAACAGAGCAGGGUUGGGCCUGUUUGUUACUUCAGUGGAAGACCUCCGAGGAGAACCUGGGUGUCGCAAGAA
ensembl:rRNA 5S_rRNA 5S ribosomal RNA